UACGUAGGUGGCAAGCGUUGUCCGGAUUUACUGGGCGUAAAGCGCGCGCAGGCGGUCUGUUGCGUCCGAGGUGAAAUCUCCCGGCUCAACUGGGAGGGGUCUUCGGAUACGGGCAGACUUGAGGAGAGCAGAGGUGAGCGGAAUUCUCGGUGUAGUGGUGAAAUGCGUAGAUAUCGAGAGGAACACCAGUGGCGAAGGCGGCUCACUGGGCUCCACCUGACGCUGAGGCGCGAAAGCGUGGGGAGCGAACCGGAUUAGAAACCCCUGUAGUCC
rnacentral:rRNA from 1 species